rnacentral:rRNA from 1 species
ACGCACGCUGGCGGCAGGCCUCACCCCUGCAAGUCGCACGAAGUCUUCGGACUUAGUGGCGCACGGGUGAGUAACACGUGGGAAUAUACCUUACGCUGGGGGAUAACAUCGGGAAACUGAUGCUAAUACCGCAUACGCCCUUCGGGGGAAAGAUUUAUCGGCGAAAGAUUAGCCCGCGUCCGAUUAGCUAGUUGGUGAGGUAAUGGCUCACCAAGGCUCCGAUCGGUAGCUGGUCUGAGAGGAUGACCAGCCGCACUGGGACUGAGACACGGCCCAGACUCCUACGGGAGGCAGCAGUGGGGAAUAUUGGACAAUGGGCGCAAGCCUGAUCCAGCCAUGCCGCGUGAGUGAUGAAGGCCUUAGGGUUGUAAAGCUCUUUCACCCACGACGAUGAUGACGGUAGUGGGAGAAGAAGCCCCGGCUAACUUCGUG